rnacentral:rRNA from 1 species
UACAGAGGGGGCAAGCGUUGUUCGGAAUUACUGGGCGUAAAGGGCGCGUAGGCGGCCUGCUAAGUCGAAACGUGAAAUCCCUGGGCUACAACCCAGGAACUGCGUCCGAUACUGGUUGGCUUGAAUCCGGGAGAGGGACGUGGAAUUCCAGGUGGAUGAGCGGUGAAAUGCGUAGAUAUCUGGAGGAACACCGGUGGCGAAGGCG